rnacentral:rRNA from 1 species
UACGUAGGCAGCAAGCGUUGUUCGGAAUUACUGGGCGUAAAGCGUGCGUAGACGGCUAUCUAAGUCGGGUGUGAAAGCCCCGGGCUCAACCUGGGAAUUGCAUUCGAGACUGAAUAGCUAGGGUACGGUAGAGGGAAGUGGAAUUUCCGGUGUAGCGGUGAAAUGCGUAGAUAUCGGAAGGAACACCAGUGGCGAAAGCGACUUCCUGGACCAGUACCGACGUUCAGGCACGAAAGCGUGGGGAGCAAACAGG